AUUCCCACGCUUAACCAGUUGGGAACUUUGCUAAUCUUCUCACCAACUGCAGGUAUGCGCAUAUUCUUUGACCCGUCCUUUUACGUAUUCUUGAAAUUCUUCCCUCGAAUUUUCCUUUUGUGUUUUUUUAAUUGGUCUUUUCCGUGUCAAUUGCUUCUUUUGCUUCAUGUAAUUGUCUCCUUUGUAUGGUUAGAGUAAUAAAUCAUAAUUAAGUUUUGUGAUUAAAACAAAAGAUCUUGCCCAUUAUUAUAGACGCAGUCACUUCGUGAGAUAAAAAUAAUUAUCCGAAUUGCUGUUGGGUAUUUUUUUGCUUAUCCUUUUUCUUAUUUGUUUUGUCCAUUCGUCCUAUACAUAAUUUUCAGCUCUUAUGUUAUUUUCUGGGAAUUUUUUUUAUUAUUGCUAUUUUGCGAUGAUUCUCAAAAAGAAAGGCUUUUUAACGACACUACACAAUUACAUGAUAGUUGGUUCCAGUUAUAACUUGUAAGUAAGCGUCUCUCUCUCCCUCUCUCUUUGUUUUUUGUUUUCUAGUUCCUUUUAUUUUAUUAUUAUUAUUAUUAUUAUUAUUAUUAUUUUUUUUGCCAUUUACAUUAGGGAAUAAUUUAUGAUUUUGUUAUACAGGGUGAUUAAUUGAAUUUUGAAAUAUUUUGUUUUAAAAUUCUAGUUUAGUACUGUGCGUAAUUGUUAGAAUUCAGUUAUUGCUGCGUUUUUAAUUUUCUGUGGAAGUGGAAAUGGAAAUGAAUUCUAAAGAGUCUGCCUUAAUAAGUACAUUGAGCACCUUUAUUUACAAGUCGAUUUUAAGGAAUGAGUUUUUCGUGAUGUAAUUUCUUAUCUAUGAUGUAAUAAAAAGUUGGAAAAUUUUGCUCUCGAGUUUUUUGUACUAUCAGAUUCUUUCUUUCUCCUAAUGAUACUAAAUCCCUGUUUGAUUUAACUAAAAAUGUAAGUCUAAUUUAACAAUUAAUUUUCACUAUACAUUUUAAUUAAAUACAAAAAAUUCAUCAAAUUUUCAACCAAAUGAGUGAUAUGUUCUGUCCAAAUCAUCAAAACACUUUCCGGACUGAUUUAUUGUAUGAAUAACAGCAAUUCAGCAAACCUGCUUAAAGCAUACACUAAACUCAAGCAUGCAUCCGCUGUUUCUCUAUCAGCGUCAUUCUUCUCUAUUAUCUUUUUCCAGAUUACUUAAUUUAUAGUCUAAACCAACUCCAUAUUUUCAGGCCUCAAGCCAACGCCUCCAUUCGUAUUUCAUUUUGGCUGGAAAUGUGUUUAACAAUGGCCUACAACAAUUUAUGUAGUAAGUCUUUAAAUCGAUUGCAAAAUACUUGUACAAUAAAAUCCCCACAGUGAGAAGUGUUGAAGGUUGCAUGCUCUUCAUCGAAAGAAUAGAUUAGACAUGAGAGGUGAAAUUUUAUUACCUUAUUGCAGGGUCGAAGAAGGUGGAAAGAAAAGUAUAAUACCCAACAUGAAAAAAUGUCCCGACCAUUCGAGAAGCACGGGAAUGCCUACCUGCAAAGCAAAACCAAAGUACAACUCCUCUUUAACUGUAAUAAUAAUGGGUGUUGAACAUCUUGCUGUGACUACCGGAUGAUGUUAGAUAAUGACGAAAUGUUCAAUAGCGAUAAAAUUGAAUAGUAUUAAGAAUGAAAAAGAGUUAAACUCUUGUUUACUAUAUUGUGUAAUUUUGUCGAAUUCAAAAGAAUGAGAAAUUAGUGAUGGGUCUGUUGUUUGUGUACGAAAUUAAGGUUUAUGUUUUGCUAAAAAUAUAUCAUGUAAAAUCUGUACUUGUCAAAUUUUUGCCUUGACUUUGUAAAUAUAGUUAUGUCAGAGGUUGAGGAAUUUUUGUUGUUGGAAUUACUUGUUAUGAAAAAAGCUU
rnacentral:lncRNA from 1 species